rnacentral:tRNA from 1 species
AGAAAGGUAAGCUAAAAUCAAGCUAGUAGGUUCAUACCCUAUUUAUAGAUAAAUAAUCUCCUUUCUA